rnacentral:rRNA from 1 species
GAUCAUGGCUCAGAACGAACGCUGGCGGCAUGGAUUAGGCAUGCAAGUCGAACGGGAGCAGCAAUGCUCCAGUGGCGCAAGGGUGAGGAACACGUGAACAACCUGCCUUCGAGUUGGGGAUAGCUUCUGGAAACGGGAGAUAAUACCGAAUAACAUCACCGGAUCGCAUGAUUUGGUGAUCAAAGCAGCAAUGCGCUUGAAGAGGGGUUCGCGUCCCAUUAGCUAGUUGGUGAGGUAACGGCCCACCAAGGCGAUGAUGGGUAGCUGGUCUGAGAGGACGACCAGCCACAUUGGGACUGAGAUACUGCCCAGACUCCUACGGGAGGCUGCAGUCGAGAAUUUUGGGCAAUGGACGAAAGUCUGACCCAGCCAAUGCCGCGUGCGGGAUGAAGGUCUUCGGAUUGUAAACCGCUGUCAAGAGGGACGAAAUAUGACGGUACCUCUGGAGGAAGCCACGGCUAACUACGUGCCAGCAGCCGC